rnacentral:miRNA from 1 species
GUGAUGAUGAAGAAUGAGCCAUA